ACUAACACGUGUUUCCGCUAUAGCAGUAAACAGCAACAUGGAUUUUCAUGAUUAUUUUACGAUGGAGAACACGUCAAUUCAUCAGAUAUGACGGGUCUUUUCUUUGGCAUUAGAUGUGACAUGUGUAGUGUGCUGGUACCAAAGGCUUCAGAACUUUCGUCUGUGAAGACCCACUUGCUAAUCCCAACCAAUGGCCACCAUGCACAGAAAAUACCAUGAUGUGGAGGAUAUAGGUGCUUAGUUAUUAGAGUCGGGACACAAUACAUUUAGAAACUGAUCAUGCCUUGGUCAAAUCAAAG